rnacentral:rRNA from 1 species
ACGCUCGACACCUACUGGAGGCAGCAGUGGGGAAUAUUGCACAAUGGGGGAAACCCUGAUGCAGCGACGCCGCGUGGAGGAAGAAGGUCUUCGGAUUGUAAACUCCUGUUGUUGGGGAAAAAGAGGAUGGUACCCAACAAGGAAUGACGGCUAACUACGCGCCAGCAGCCGCGGUAAUCUGAGCGGGCUGGCAAGGC